GCCACUCGCUGCGACGUCGGGAUGCCGAGACGUUGGUGCUGCGCCGUGCCCAUCGGUGAUCUGUGUAACAUCGAGAAGUAUUGAAGCGGGCUUUGGGUGUUGAUGGGGGGGUCCUUGGAGUAACGAAUAAGCAAAGCAUUAUUAUUGUCGCUGUGCUCAUAAAUGUUUAGGUAGUUGAAUAUGCACUGCUUGUGUAAAAAA
rnacentral:lncRNA from 1 species